UUAGGAAUUUUCCGCAAUGGGCGAAAGCCUGACGGAGCAACGCCGCGUGAGUGAUGAAGGCCUUCGGGUUGUAAAGCUCUGUCGGAGGGAACGAAGAUCUGACGGUACCCUCCAAGAAAGCCCCGGCUAACUACGUGCCAGCAGCCGCGGUAAUACGUAGGGGGCAAGCGUUAUCCGGAUUUACUGGGCGUAAAGCGCGUUAAGGCGGCCGGCUAAGUUGGUGGUGAAAUUCCAGGGCUCAACCCUGGAACUGCCUCCAAUACUGGUCGGCUCGAGUGCGAGAGAGGAAGGUGGAAUUCCCGGUGUAGUAGUGAAAUGCGUAGAUAUCGGGAGGAACACCAGUGGCGAAGGCGGCCUUCUGGCUCGCAACUGACGCUGUAGCGCGAAAGCGUGGGGAGCGAACGGGAUUAGAUACCCCGGUAGUCCACGCCCUAAACGAUGUGUACUAGGUGUUGGGCGUAUUGACGCGCUCAGUGCCGUAGCUAACGCAUUAAGUACACCGCCUGGGGAGUACGGCCG
rnacentral:rRNA from 1 species